CCCUAGUAACGGCGAGUGAAGCGGCAACAGCUCAAAUUUGAAAUCUGGCUCUCGGGCCCGAGUUGUAAUUUGUAGAGGAUACUUUUGAUGCGGUGCCUUCCGAGUUCCCUGGAACGGGACGCCAUAGAGGGUGAGAGCCCCGUCUGGUUGGAUGCCAAAUCUCUGUAAAGUUCCUUCAACGAGUCGAGUAGUUUGGGAAUGCUGCUCUAAAUGGGAGGUAUAUGUCUUCUAAAGCUAAAUACCGGCCAGAGACCGAUAGCGCACAAGUAGAGUGAUCGAAAGAUGAAAAGCACUUUGAAAAGAGAGUUAAAAAGUACGUGAAAUUGUUGAAAGGGAAGCGUUUAUGACCAGACUUGGGCUUGGUUAAUCAUCUGGGGUUCUCCCCAGUGCACUUUUCCAGUCCAGGCCAGCAUCAGUUUUCCCCGGGGGAUAAAGGCGGCGGGAAUGUGGCUCUCUUCGGGGAGUGUUAUAGCCCACCGUGUAAUACCCUGGGGGGGACUGAGGUUCGCGCAUCUGCAAGGAUGCUGGCGUAAUGGUCAUCAACGACCCGUCUUGAAACACGGACCAAGGAGUCGUCUUCGUAUGCGAGUGUUCGGGUGUCAAACCCCUACGCGUAAUGAAAGUGAACGCAGGUGAGAGCUUCGGCGCAUCAUCGACCGAUCCUGAUGUUCUCGGAUGGAUUUGAGUAAGAGCAUACGGGGCCGGACCCGAAAGAAGGUGAACUAUGCCUGUAUAGGGUGAAGCCAGAGGAAACUCUGGUGGAGGCUCGCAGCGGUUCUGACGUGCAAAUCGAUCGUCAAAUAUGGGCAUG
rnacentral:rRNA from 1 species